ACGUAGGGUGCGAGCGUUAAUCGGAAUUACUGGGCGUAAAGCGUGCGCAGGCGGUUAUAUAAGUCAAGAGUGAAAUCCCCGGGCUCAACCUUGGAACCGCAUUUGAGACUGGAUGACUAGAGUGUGGAAGAGGGGGGUGGAAUUCCUGGUGUAGCAGUGAAAUGCGUAGAGAUGUGGAGGAACACCGAUGGCGAAGGCAGCCCCCUGGGCCAAUACUGACGCUCAUGCACGAAAGCGUGGGGAGCAAACAG
rnacentral:rRNA from 1 species